GAAGAUAUUUCUACCUAAUCCCAGUGACACGCAUAGCCCUCUGAUUCAGAGUCCACUCGGAAAUUCUUGUACAAUAGUAAGCCGUUGUUAACACCAAAC